ACGGAGGAAAAGGAAACCAACAGGGAUUGCCUUAGUAACGGCGAGUGAAGCGGCAAUAGCUCAAAUUUGAAAGCUGGCGUCUUCGACGUCCGCGUUGUAAUUUGUAGAGGAUGCUUCGGCGAAGACUCCUGCCUAAGUCCCCUGGAACGGGGCGUCAUAGAGGGUGAGAAUCCCGUAUGUGGCGGGCAGUCUAAGCCAUGUGAAGCUCCUUCGACGAGUCGAGUUGUUUGGGAAUGCAGCUCUAAAUGGGAGGUAAAUUUCUUCUAAAGCUAAAUAUUGGCCAGAGACCGAUAGCGCACAAGUAGAGUGAUCGAAAGAUGAAAAGCACUUUGGAAAGAGAGUUAAAAAGUACGUGAAAUUGUUGAAAGGGAAGCGCUUGCAACCAGACUCGCUCGUAGUUGCUCAGCCGGCCUCUUGGCCGGUGUACUCUUCUACGAUCGGGCCAGCAUCAGUUCGGGCGGCAGGAUAAAGGUGUCGGGAAUGUAGCACCCUUCGGGGUGUGUUAUAGCCCGGCGCGGAAUGCUGCCAGCCUGGACUGAGGAUCUCGCUUCGGCAAGGAUGCUGGCGUAAUGGUUGUAAGCGGCCCGCU
rnacentral:rRNA from 1 species